AAAGAAAAAGAAAUAAAGUCACUUUUGGUGAAAAAUGAGUUAAAAUGACAGUUAAGAGGUAAAAAAUGCGGAUAAAUAAAGUUAUCUAAAAGUGAAAGUAAAAAUAGAAACGUGACUAGAAAAAUAUUCUAGUCUAUUGGUUAAAGUUUGGUAAUGAAUGGAGGUGUGUAGAUAGAUGAGCUUAUACCCGCUAGUAUAAUGAAUUUAUAUAAGUGACUCAAGGGAGUCACUGUUCCCUUCUCUUUACGGACGCGAGACAGAGAGAACGAAGGAAAGAAAAUGAAAAUGGAGAUUUUGAUUAAAAUUCUUCCAAAAUUCAUAACUUGAGCUAGAGACCUCCAAAUCACUCCGUUCCAAAGCCAAACCUGUGAGAAAUUUCGAGAGGAAUCUAUUGGUACCAGUAUUUCUGAGUGGGGUUCACUGUAGAGAGAGAUCUUCUCCCCCAAAGAAUUCGAAUUUCAUGGAAAAUAUGGGUUUUGAUGGAGCUUGAAGCCAUGGGAGCUUGAAGCAAGCUUCUCCCUUCAUUCUAGGUGUACCUAGGGACUGUGAACGUUUGGAUUCUCGUGGAGUAUGAUAAGUAGCUUGUUCUUCAAGUAAGCAGAUUGUAAAGCUCAAAGAGGAACACAGUUAAUUGAAGAGCCUCAUGGGACAAGGACACUAACCGUGGCUAGAGGUACUAGUAUGAGGAUGUGGAGUUCUGGGUGGUCGGAUGCUACUAUUUGUUUUAGACGUAUUUUUGGAAAAGAUGUAUUGUUGCAUAGUGUUCAUAUUCGAUACAUGUACAUUUAUGUAUUCAGGCAUGAUGAUAUGACUAUGUAGUAUUCAGUUAUGUUAUGUAUUGGAUUGCAUGCUAUUAGAUUUGUGGCACAGAGCCAAGU